AGCGGCAACAGCUCAAAUUUGAAAUCUGGCGCAAGCCCGAGUUGUAAUUUGUAGAGGAUGCUUCUGGGUAGCGACCGAUCUAAGUUCCUUGGAACAGGACGUCAUAGAGGGUGAGAAUCCCGUAUGUGACCGGCCCGCACCCUUUACGUAGCUCCUUCGACGAGUCGAGUUGUUUGGGAAUGCAGCUCUAAAUGGGAGGUAAAUUUCUUCUAAAGCUAAAUACCGGCCAGAGACCGAUAGCGCACAAGUAGAGUGAUCGAAAGAUGAAAAGUACUUUGGAAAGAGAGUUAAAAAGCACGUGAAAUUGUUGAAAGGGAAGCGCCUGCAACCAGACUUCGCGGCAGUGUUCCGCCGGUCUUCUGACCGGUUCAUUCUCUGUCGCGAGGCCAUCAUCGUCUGGGCCCGCCGGAUAAGACCUGAGGAAUGUGGCUCCCCCUCGGGGGAGUGUUAUAGCCUCUGGUGAUGCGGCGUGGCUCGGGCGAGGUCCGCGCUUCGGCAAGGAUGAUGGCGUAAUGGUUGUCGGCGGCCCGUCUUGAAACACGGACCAAGGAGUCUAACAUCUAUGCGAGUGUUCGGGUGUCAAACCCCUACGCGUAAUGAAAGUGAACGGAGGUGGGAACCGCAAGGUGCACCAUCGACCGAUCCUGAUGUCCUCGGAUGGAUUUGAGUAAGAGCAUAGCUGUUGGGACCCGAAAGAUGGUGAACUAUGCCUGAAUAGGGUGAAGCCAGAGGAAACUCUGGUGGAGGCUCGCAGCGGUUCUGA
rnacentral:rRNA from 1 species